UACGUAGGGUCCGAGCGUUGUCCGGAAUUACUGGGCGUAAAGAGCUCGUAGGCGGUUUGUCGCGUUGUUCGUGAAAACUCACAGCUCAACUGUGGGCGUGCGGGCGAUACGGGCAGACUUGAGUACUGCAGGGGAGACUGGAAUUCCUGGUGUAGCGGUGGAAUGCGCAGAUAUCAGGAGGAACACCGGUGGCGAAGGCGGUUCUCUGGGCCUUACCUGACGCUGAGGAGCGAAAGCGUGGGGAGCAAACAGG
rnacentral:rRNA from 1 species